GGUAGUAUGAUGGACAAACGAAAGUUCCCCUGUCUCUAUUUAGCCAAUGAAAAUUAAUCUUCAGGUGAAGAAGCCUGAAUUUUCUUAAAAGACAAAAAGACCCUAUUGAGCUUUAUUCUAAUUCUAGACAUCUAUAAUAAAAAUAAAAUUUUCUCUAAAAUAAGAAUUUUGCUGGGGCAGCAAAGGAACACCCAAAAAUUCCUUUUUCAAAAGACUUAUUAGUCCACCUAAAUGAUCCAUUUUUAUGAUUAACAAAACUAGCUACCAUAGGGAUAACAGGCUAAUUUUUCUCUAGAGCUCAAAUUGACAGAAAAGAUUGGCACCUCGA
rnacentral:rRNA from 1 species